rnacentral:ribozyme from 1 species
UUUUUUUUUUUUUUUUUUUUGUAAGUUUGGGUUUCUCGAGGACGGACAAGAAGAGAUCAACCAACGACAAACGAACACGAAGAACCCACGAGAACAACAUCGCUUUUUUUUAUUUUUUUAAUUUUCUUUUUUUUUUUUUGAAAAAAAACAAAAAAGUUAAAUAUCGU